rnacentral:rRNA from 1 species
GACGAACCGUACGAACGUUAUUCGGAAUCACUGGGCUUAAAGGGUGCGUGGGCUGCGCAGCAAGUUGGGUGUGAAAUCCCUCGGCUUAACCGAGGAACUGCGCCCAAAACUGCUGUGCUCGAGGGAGAUAGAGGUGAGCGGAACUUAGGGUGGAGCGGUGAAAUGCGUUGAUAUCCUAAGGAACACCGGUGGCGAAAGCGGCUCACUGGAUCUCUUCUGACGCUGAUGCACGAAAGCUAGGGGAGCAAACAGG